rnacentral:sRNA from 1 species
UGGCCUUCUGCUAGAAGGAAAUGUAGCCUACUGGGAAAGGACAGAGCCAGGUCUGUGUGCCUCUCCCUGGAGUCCCUGACACUUGCUGUUUUGGCUUGAAGCCUUUGGCCAUUAAAGUUGCCUGUAUCCAGGCAUGACUGGCCCCUGCUCAGGGCCAAGAGAGGGUGAGUCUUGCAAACCAAGGAAGCCCAGGUACCCUGUCUGCUUCCUUCAGGGUCUGGACCACUCCUUUCCCUAUAGGCCUUCCAGUCGGCUGGGGAGUGUUGGUGCAUGUGUGCACGUGUGCAUGUGAGUUGGUGGGGCUGAGGUCUGGGGGUACCUGGGAUUCCACCAGGGAUUCCUCUUUGCAGGCAUAUGGUGUCUUUGGUGAAUUAAUUAUUUAAUUCAAUUGAUGUUUAUUAAGAUAUUGAUUAAGCCCCUCCUGGGUACUUGGCUUUAGGGAAUGAUUCCUUGACCUCAUGGAAUUUGCAUUGUAGUGAGGGAGGCACACUUGAGGCAAGGAGCAGGUGGCAGAGAGCAAUAACAGCUCUGAAGAAAAGCUAGAGGCUGAUGAGAUGACCAUGACUUGGGGUGAGGGGAGAGAGCAAGACAAGGACUGCUCUGUCGGGAAGGCCUUUGACUGGGGGCCUGAAUGAUGGAGAGCCAGCCACAUGAAAAACUUAAAAAGAGCACUGCAGGCAAGGAAUCGGUAAAUGCAAAGGCCCUGGGGCAUGUUGAAGGGUGGAAGGAAGGCCAGUGGAGCUGGAGCCAAGAGACUGAGGGGCAGCUUGGUGGGUGAAGAGCCCCAGGGACCCGCAGUGUCAUAACCUAGGAGCUUCUUAGAAAUGCAGACUGAGGCCGGGUGCGGUGGCUCACGCCUGUAAUCCCAGCACUUUGGGAGGCCGAGGCGAGCGGAUCACCUAAGGUCAGGAGAUCAAGACCAGCUUGGCCAACAUGGCGAAACCCCGUCUCCAGUAAAAAAAUACAAAAAUUAGCCAGGCGUGGUGGCAGGCGCCUGUAAUCCCAGCUACUAGGGAGGCUGAGGCAGGAUAAUUGCCUAAACCCGGUCAGAAGGUGGAGGUUGCAGUGAGCCGAGAUCGUGCCACUGCACUCCAGCCUGGGUGACAGAGCGAGACUGUGUCUCAAACAAACAAACAAACAAAAAAACAAAAAAAGAAAUACAGACUGAAAGCCCCAGCCUAGACUUGCUGAAACAUAAGCUUUUUUUUUUUUUUUUUUUUUUUUAAUCAAGAUCCCCAAGUGAUCUGUGAGAAUUACUCCCCUAGUAUCUCAUUUUAUAGAUGGGGAGACUGAGAGCCAGAGAGAGGAAGGGACUUCCUAGAGGGAUGGAGCUGACAGUCCUGUCCCUGCCCUGGUGCCCCUUCCAACUGCAUUUUACCAGAAAGGCUGUCUGACUUCCUGGGGAGGCUGAGAGUGAGGAGGGUAUGAACCAGUAGAAGCAGAUGAUCUGUGGAGGGGUCUGCGUUGAGCACAUUGUGCAGAAUUGGUGUCCUCUGCAAAGCUGCCCAGGUUUUAGCCUGCCUCAGGCCUCUCCUCUUCUGGGGCCAAGGGACAACCAGCUUUCAGCCCGGUAGCCUCUCUUUGAGGGGGAAGGUGGUGGUUCCCUGGCGCGCCACCAUCAGGAGGCGAUGGUACCAUCGGCAGGCAUUGUCAACACACCCUGGAGGCAAAUGUCUUGAAUGGUGAGAGUAUUGGAGGGCAGUGAUAUAACUUACCUGGCUCCCAGAAGGCAGGGGGCUCUCCAGUCCCACCGUCCACUCCUUCCUCCCUCAGUUCCCCAGAGGGAUAGACACUUGUGGAGUGAGGAUUGUUCCAGGUGGGAGACACCCUCAUCAUUCUCUUGGGAGUUGUAUCUCCUGCCCAUCCCCAACUGUUCUAUCCAUAUGCAGGUGCAGAUACAAGUGCAAGGCAGCCCGGCACAUUCCUGAGUGUUUGGGGCAGGGCUGAGUGAAACAAAGUCCAGCUUCCCGGGCUAUCCCUCACAGGCCUGUGUGACAGCAUCCCCAGAACAUUUGAGUGUGAGAAGGCCCUCUGGGAGACACUAAGUCAGGGGGCUUCUGGGGAAUGGAAAUAGAGAUGUUCCUGAGCCCCAGGAGUUGUCUGAUUUCUCUAAUUGCCAGCUGCUGGAGGGCAGGGAUGUUGUCCUGUUCAUCACUGGGUCGCCACCAGGCAGGCCUUCAUCAUCUAGCUGGGAUGUGUGGCUGGUAGAGGUGAUGUCAUAGUGUGACAUUAGGAGUUUGUAUGUGACUUGGGCACGAUGGUUAAUGUCUUUCAGUUUUCUCAUCUGUAGAAUGGGCUUACUAAUUUCUACUUCAUUUAGUGUUUUUUUUUUUUUUUUUUUUUUUUUUUGGUGGCCGGUUAAAUGACUGAAGUAAGCACUGAAUAAACAAGGUGGUUAUUAUUAAA